CCCUGCUAGCUACCGAGAAGAUGGUCGCGCUUCUCCGCCCAUUCUCCGCCGCCGCUGCCGCCACCCUCUUCCUCGCCCCCGCCGGGCCGCUCACUGGUUCCGCAGUGGCCGCUAGUGCUGCCAGCGGCAGGCGGUGGCGAAGCGUGAGGACGAACGCCGGCGGGGGCUGGCUGUCCGGGCUGUUGGGCGGCAAGGGCGGUGGCGCGCCCACGGCGAUGACGGUGACUCCGGGGACCGUGAAGGCCGGUGACCCGGUGCUGCAUGAGCCGGCACAGGAGGUGGCGCUUGGUGACGUGCGGUCCGAGAAGGUCCAGGGCAUCAUCGACCGGAUGAUCGACAUCAUGCGCAAGGCCCCCGGCGUCGGCCUUGCCGCUCCGCAGAUAGGCGUCCCGCUCAGGAUUAUUGUUCUCGAGGAUACCCAAGAGUACAUCAGUUAUGCACCCAAGAAGGACAUCGAAGCGCAAGAUCGCCAUCCUUUUGAUCUUCUUGUUAUUAUUAAUCCCAAGCUUAAGAACACUAGCAAAAACAGUGCACUUUUCUUCGAGGGUUGUCUGAGUGUUGAUGGAUAUAGGGCGGUCGUUGAGCGAUAUCUAGAUGUUGAAGUUUCAGGUUUGGACCGAAAUGGCAGCCCCAUUAAGGUACAGGCCUCAGGAUGGCAAGCACGCAUCCUGCAACACGAAUGUGACCAUCUUGAAGGCACUCUGUAUGUUGACAAGAUGGUCCCAAGGACAUUCAGAAUUGUUGAUAACUUGGAUCUGCCGCUUCCCAUUGGAUGCCCUCCACUAGGUGCAAGAUAAUGUGUAUCGCUUGCAAUCUUUCCUCAUCAAUUAGAGUAGCAUUCCUAUUGAAAUAUGAGAAUCAUUACUACAUACCCUCUGAUCCAAACUAUAAGUGGGCAUCUGCAUAGUCUACAAGGGGCGCUCAAAGAUGAUGAAGAUCAAUAGAAUUACUGUAAACUAUGGUUAUUACUUGGAUUGGCUUUUAUAUGAUUGGUCCCCUUUGGUGGCUUGGAAUUUUAGUAUACUCUAAGAAAUAAACUAUCAGAAGGAACCAUAUGAUAGAUUCAGCAUCAUUGUGUGGUCACAGGAAUUCAUGUGUCUUCGAGGGAUUGACCCCGAAUCUGCAGCGAGCUCUUCAAGCUUUCAAGGAGGAAUUCCUUCUAUGGGGUUUCGCUGGGGCUAAAGGGCUUGCUGCCUUGAACCCCGGAAGGUUGGUUGAGCAAGUGUAGAUUGCAGUAGGCACUGUUUGGUCAGGUCCUAGUUUCAGUUUUGUAACAGUUUUGUAUCGGUUUUUACAGCCCUCCCCCUGGUCCAAGGAGAGGUGCUGGAUUGUAAAUUGGACUAACCUCUUUUCCUCUUAAUACAAAGAUACGCAGCUCUCCUGCGUGUU